GACGAACCGUGCGAACGUUAUUCGGAAUCACUGGGCUUAAAGCGCGUGUAGGCGGGGAGGCACGUCCGACGUUGAAAUCCCCCGGCUCAACCGGGGAACUGGCGCGGAUACGACCUUCCUGGAGGGGCGUAGGGGGACCUGGAACUUCCGGUGGAGCGGUGAAAUGCGUUGAGAUCGGAAGGAACGCCCGUGGCGAAAGCGAGGUCCUGGACGCCUACUGACGCUGAGACGCGAAAGCUAGGGGAGCGAACGGG
rnacentral:rRNA from 1 species